AGAGCUAGUUUUGUAUAUACGAUGAAUACUAUGAAUUCCACUAAAAGUACAAGUCUCUACCGGUUUCCCUACCAUUGCACUCCUUUUGGAUUCGCGUGCGCCAACAGCUUUUCACGGGGCUUUAUCGUCCUUCUAUUUACAGGUGCUACUGUAUGAAACUUUUUUUUCUCGAAAAAUAUGAGAAACAAUAUUUAGACCAAUAAUGAAAACAGGCGUAACUCUUAAGCAUAGUUUUGAUAAACGCGGAGCAUGGAAUUAUGGCUAGUAAAUUUAUAUGGUGGAGGAAUGAAUUGAUUGACACGGUUGUUGAUCAUGCAGCUAAUGGAGGAGAAGUUGUUCUGUUUUAGAUUAUUAUUGCACAAUUUGUGGAGUCAUGCAUGGAUAAAUCAAUCUUUGUUUCGAUAAAAUAAAAGAACUGAAAUCGAUUUAGAGUUUUAUUGUUAAUUUGCAUUCGUUUGUAUUUUGUGAUUUCAAUUAAAUUUUAGAAGCAUGUGUAUUUGAAUAGAUUGUGCACAAAGCAGUCAUUAAGUCAGUGUUUGUUCAUAUAAAGUUUUAUUAAUGUUUCUAUUUCGUUAUUUUACAGUUCGAUAGACUAUACUUUAUAUGUGAAACAUCCAAUUGAAUUAAAUUUUUGGUGUCUCUUGAUCAAUAAAUAAUUAUCGCGUAUUAAAGGCAAUGCACCAUGGAAGACGAUCAAGAAGCUAGUAUAUUCCUUCUAUAGAACAAUAGCAUCAAUCUACUGCAACUUCAACCUACUUCAUUUUCAAUUUACUUUGAUGUAAAUAUAUCUUAUUUUUGACUUAUUACGGGUCAAUCUACUCUGAUUUCAACCUACAAUAAGGAUGAAUGUUUUGGACCGUGGAAUUUCUUAAGUAAGUUGAGAACAAGGUUGAGAACAUCUUUUCCGCUGUUGCCAGAUGAAUUCCACUAAAAGUACAAUUCUCUACCGAUUUCCCUACCAUUGAUCUCAUUUUGGAUUCGCCUGCGCCAACAGCUUUUCACGUGGCUUCAUUGUCCUUCUAUUUACAGGUGUUACUGUAUGAAACAUUUUCGUCGCGAAAAAUAUGAAAAACAGUAUUGAGAUCAAUAAUGAAAACAGGCAUAAUUCUUAAGCAUUGUUUUGAUGAACGCGGAGCAUGGAAUUAUGACUAGAUUGACACGGUUUUUGAUCAUGCAGCUAAUGGAGGAGAAGUUGUUCUGUUUUAGAUUAUUAUUGCACAAUUGGAGUCAUGCAUGGAUGAAUCAAUCUUUGUUUCGAUAAAAUAAAAGAACUGAAAUCCAUUUAGAGUUUUAUUGUCAAUUUGCAUUCUUCGAUAGACUAUACUUUAUAUGUGAAACAUCCAAUUGAAUUAAAUUUUUGGUGUCUCUUGAUCAAUAAAUAAUUAUCGCGUAUUAGAGGCAAUGCACCAUGGAAGACGAUCAAGAAGCUAGUAUAUUUCUUCUAUAGAACAAUAGCAUCAAUCUACUGCAACUUCAACCUACUUCAUUUUCAAUUUACUUUGAUGUAAAUAUAUCUUAUUUUUGACUUAUUACGAGUCAAUCUACUCUGAUUUCAACCUACAAUAAGGAUGAAUGUUUUGGACCGUGGAAUUUCUUAAGUAAUUUGUUUAAUCUAUGGUGCGGCACCACCUUUACCAACCGUCAUCAUGGAAGUGAGAGCGAUCGUCGCGCCAUGUUGCGCUGAAAAAAUCCAUUUGUCGGUAUUAUAAUUUUUCAUGAUGUCGACUACUAUUUUGACUUAUCGAUUUUAAGUCUAUUGGCGUGUACCACGCGGUCGCCAAUGUCAGUUUAUAGCAUCCCAUACCAGAUUCUUGGCAUCACUCAUCCAUUCCCACCUAGAGUUCACUUGAAUGAAGCAUCAUAUUCCAAUGGGCGCUUGAAAUGGCAAAAACCACCAGAGUCCCCCAUUAUCGAAGACAACAUCACAGUCGAAUUGCAGUCAUUUAGCAUUCUAUUAGUCAGUCUAGCAUCCUGCAAAAUCAACUGGGCAUCUCGCAAUGGUCUUUUUACCUAAUCCUACAAAAUCGGAGCGAUGACGAAAAUUUAAAGAAUUCUCUUACUGACUCAUUGAGCAACGCUGCUGCUGUUGAUGACGUUUAACGUGAUUCGAAUUAAUAAUUGAUAAGGAAAAAUUUAACAGUGAGAAAUGGAUGUCUCGCGGUUUGGGAUACAGAUAUGUAGGCAGUGUAGAAAGGAAAUAAAAUCCCGGCUGAUUAAUUGCAUACAUUGUAGAAAAUUUUUCAUCCGUGUUGCCACAAUUUUCAUAAAGUUUAUAAUUGAGCAAAUGAAUUGCUAAGUUGAACUGGUAAAUAUGAAAUAUUUAUAUAAAUAUGAAAUAGAGAGUGUGAUACAAGGAGUAACGUAUGCAAGGGGAGUGUAACGCAGCAGCCCAAUAAUGCAAAUAGCCGAAUAGCGAUCGAGCGUUUCAUGCUAAGACAAAGAUCGAACAAAAAUAAGAAGGCCUAAAAAGGUAGUCAGCGUCUACCAAUCGAAUAACGAUUACAUCCUAAUGUACCAAUAUUUUUUUGCUUUUCAUUUAUUAGAAUAUAUUGCAUUUCCGUAGAAGAGAGAUUUCUUUUCAUCAUCGGAAUUCUUAUUUUUUUUAGCCAAAUAUCAUUUCAGAAGACUGACUAGACAGAGGGAAUACCGUAUAUAUUAUGUAAAAAGUAUUAGUAAUAUAAUAACAUCUGUAAAUAUUGAUAAGUCAUAAGUAAAUAAAAAAACAGAAGUAAAUACUGAAUUAAUUAAUAUUGAAUAUGGAGUGCCGCAGGGAUUUGUAUCGGGACUCUUGUCAUUCAUUGUAUAUAUAAAUUAUAUAAUAGAAAUAUUCUCUGAUUGAUAUAGUAUAAAAAUGUUUACGGAUAAUACUAAUAAAAAUUAAUGUAUGUUAUUGGAAAAAGUAGUAUACAGGUAGAGACAGAAAUGAAUAAGGCAUUUAAUACUAUGACGUCCGGUGACUCCACCUUGGUGCCAUGCGGAAAAUAUCGAGUAAGUGCCGGUGGCUCUACCUCGGUGCCAUUCGGAAGUUAUUGCUCAAGCACCAAUGGCUGUAUUGUGGAGAAUUCAAUUUAAAUUCAAAAUUGGAGAACGAAAGAAUAUUGUCGUGUUCUGUAACUAACAGUAAAUUACAGAUGUAGCAACUUUGUGUUUUCAUAAAAAUCUGUGCCCUUCGACAAUGGCAAACGAAAGAGAAGAUACAAUUAUACGUGAUGAGUGUGUGGACAUCUUGUCUGAUGUUCCAUCCGAAUUUCAAGAUUGUGAAGAACUAGAAGACAUUACGUCUUCAGAAAAGGAAAAUGAGGCAAUAUCUUUGGUUGAAUCUGAAAUAUGUAGACAGAGAAUUCGGCGAACACCACCGUUAUCAAGUGAUACAGAAGAAUCAGACGAAGAUAACAGUAGACAGUGGUCAGAUUUUGAUUUACCAAGAAACAAUAAUGCUUUCGAAGUAUCUUCUGGUUCUAACGUACUUCCCAGAGAUACAAACAACAUCGAGAGUGUCGUGGAGAACGACAUUGUUUGAAUUUAUUAAUACCGAAACGAACAGGUACUAAGAUCAAUAUUCCACCAGGAGGAAACUCGAUAAAAAAGUGCAAAAUUUUUCAAUGUUACGGCAGUCUAACUAAAACAAUGGUUUGGACUGAUUAUUCAUAUGGAAAUCGUUAAAAAACCAAGGAUUGAAGAUUAUUGGGCGACAAAUCCAUUUUUGGAAACACCAAUAUUUGGUAAAACGAUGUCCCGCAAUAGAUUUUGGCAAAUAUUAUCGUUUUUACAUUUCUCGGAUAAUAGUAAAAUACCUGCCAAUGCCGACUGAUUGUUCAAAGUACAAGGUAUAAUUGAUUAUUUUACAAAAAAAUUUCAAGAAAUCUUCAAUCUUUGUCCAAAUAUUGCAAUAGAUAAAGGACUGAUGGCGUGGGCGAUUGAGUUUUAAAGUUUAUAACCCCUCAAAAAUUAUAAAGUACCGUAUACUUGUCCGAAUGCUGUGUGAUUCCGUUACGGGAUAUAUUUCGCGUUACAUAAUAUACUCUGGCGUUAAAAAAUCUUUAAAGGAUACAGUGAUAAAACUAUUGAAAAAUGUUACUGAAAAAUGGCAUCACUUGUAUAUGGACAACUACUAUAACAGUGUGGAACUUGCGGAUGAUUUGUUUACGAAAAAAAUUCACGUUUGUGGAACGCUGCGUAAGAAUAGAGGAUUACCGGCAAAGUUGAGAAACUGCAAACUAAUUGUAUUUGAAACCAAACAUCAACGAUGAGGAGCAGUACUGGUGCAAGUAUGGAAAGCAACGAAGACGAAAAUAAUAAGAACAAUUUCUACCAUACACAAUGGUGGUUUAGUUAACACUGCAAAAAAAUGCAGAAAAAGCAAUAGUACGAUUAAAAACUCGGCAUCUAUUUUGGAUUAUAAUAAAUAUAUGAACGGUGUAGAUCGAGCUGAUCAAUUUUUGAGCUAUUAUCCUAUAUGCCGGAAAACUUUAAAAUGGUCAAAAAAAGUGGCAUUAUACCUUUUAAAUUGCGUUGUACAUAACGCGUUCGUACUGCAACGACAUUAUACAGAUUCCAAGAAACUCGACUUUCAUGAUUUUUUAUUGAAAAUAUGCGAAUCUUGGAUAAAAGAUCAUUCACUUGUUGGUGAAGAGAACUUGGAGGUCCCGAGUACAUGGCGUGCUUCCAGUCGUGAAUCAAUCAACAGACUUUCCGACCUCGUAAAGGAGCACCAGCUGAUACGUAUUUCAGAAACCAACAACCGAAAACGCAGAAGGUGUCAU